AGUGAACGCUGGCGGUAGGCCUAACACAUGCAAGUCGAACGGCAGCACAGUAAGAGCUUGCUCUUACGGGUGGCGAGUGGCGGACGGGUGAGGAAUACAUCGGAAUCUACUUUUUCGUGGGGGAUAACGUAGGGAAACUUACGCUAAUACCGCAUACGACCUACGGGUGAAAGCAGGGGAUCUUCGGACCUUGCGCGAUUGAAUGAGCCGAUGUCGGAUUAGCUAGUUGGCGGGGUAAAGGCCCACCAAGGCGACGAUCCGUAGCUGGUCUGAGAGGAUGAUCAGCCACACUGGAACUGAGACACGGUCCAGACUCCUACGGGAGGCAGCAGUGGGGAAUAUUGGACAAUGGGCGCAAGCCUGAUCCAGCCAUACCGCGUGGGUGAAGAAGGCCUUCGGGUUGUAAGGCCCUUUUGUUGGGAAAGAAAAGCAGCAGGUUAAUACCCCGCUGUUCUGACGGUACCCAAAGAAUAGGCACCGGCUAACUUCGUG
rnacentral:rRNA from 1 species